UAGCCAUCGCUAAUAGCAUUAGCUAUGGUAAACUGACUAUUAGCGACCGUAAUAAGUCGUUGCUAAUAAUCAAUUUUUUUAUAGUGAUGCCUUUGUUGUCAUAGCCAAACUUCUUAUUUCAAACUAAAGAAUGAAAAAAAGUUUUGCUAUAUAGGACACCAUCGAUUUUUUGCCACUUGAUCAUAGAUGGCAUAAUUAGAAGGCUCAAUUUUAUGGAAAGAAGGAGAAAAGAGUUACACCAAAGUGACUAACUAGGGAUGAUAUCCUAAAUCAACUCCAUCCAUU
rnacentral:lncRNA from 1 species